GCCCCGGGAGCCUCUAGAGCAGCGCGCGGGGCAGACCUCCGCGGGUCCCCCGGCGCUUCGGUCUCCGGAGACGCCCGGCCUCCUGGAGGGUUCGGCUUGUCCUCCUCUGGCGCCCGGCUCCCUCUGGCGGCCGGGCUGGCAGGACCUCAGCGCCCAGCCCUUCCGCCUUGUUACGUCCAGGGUCUCACUCUGUGUCUCAGGCUGGAGUACAGUGGUGCAAUCGUAGAUGGCUGCAGCCCUCGACCUCCUGGGCUCAAGUGAUCCUCCUGCCUUAGCCUGUUGAGUAGCUGGGAGUACAGAUGCACACCACCACACCCAGCCUAGAAUGAAGAAACCUGCAGUUGGGAAGCAUGAAUUUACCACCUAUUAAGAAUUGUGGCUUGCAUUGUAAGAGGAGCCUGUGAAUUCAGAGGCAAGUCUGCUGAGGACCGAAUGUUCCUGUCCAUAAAAACAGAAGUCUGGCCUGGGCUCCUCUCCUGGGUGAAUUUGCAGUGCCAGAUCCUUUCUAUCAGUUUGGUUUUGUUUCUUGUAUCUCUGGGAAGGCAGGCAGACAACACGGUCACCUGUGAAUGCAGCUACAAUUGGCUUAGCUGCCUCACUGAUAAAUGUGCCCCCAGUAAGCUACAAAGGGAUUACCAGCGUUCUCAGCAGCUAAAGGAACUGGUGAAGAUUUCCCCAGCAAAAAGUAGAAGCUCAGUGUUUCAUAGAUGAAGACUGGGGAGAUUGCAAAAGACCCAUCCAGGAUUCUUAGUUUGAGUAGCCAACUUGCAGAAUACAAUAGAAUUUUGGGAGGAGCCCCUCGAUGCCUGGAUUUACUGUUGGAGAGACAGUACAAUAUACACCAGAUGACUUAUCUGUGAACCAUGGAAACAUUUGGAAAAGAGUCUCACUGUGUCGCCCAGGCUGGAGUGCAGUGGUGCGAUCUUGGCUCUCUGCGACCUCUGCCUCCCAGGUUCAAGUGAUUCUCCUGCCUCAGCCUCCCAGGUAGCUGGUACUACAGGCACGCAUUUGUAGAGAUGGGGUUUCCCCGUGUUAUCCAGGCUGGUCUGGAACUCCUGGGCUCAAGUAAUCCACCCGCCUCGGCCUCCCAAAGUGCUGGGAUUACAGGCUUGAGCCACCAUGCCCUGCCAAUAAAGAUUAUCUCCAGAUGCUGCCUACUUCAUGCUUUGAACAGAAGAGUUUUAUCAGUUUUAAAUGUUUCUUCAUUUCUAUAGCUUCCUUUAUCUGAGGAGCUUAAGCCAUUUUGUAGAGGCAUUAAGUAUUGCCUCAGUCCUAAAUAAUAUGUGAGACAAGGUGUGAGGAAUAUAGAGAUUCAUAAAAUAAUCCCCAUCUUCAAGGAACUCACAGUCAGGAAGAACACAGCCUGCAACACAAAUAACUGCAAUAUAGUAGAAGUGCCAAUAGGAGCUCUAUGAAGGGUGUGAAACAGGAAAAGCUACAUAGAGGAAAUGGCAGACACUCUGUGGAUUGUGACCUCUUGGUGGGCCAUGAAAUCAGUUUGGGGGUUUGAGAGCAUCAUUCUUUUAAUAAAACAGAAGAGAAUCAUCUGCAAUAAGGAACCCAUGGAUGAAUACCAUCUGGUCCUGGUGACUUACUGCACAGAGUCCCUCAAGUUGCUCCAUACCUUUCUCCUAAGAGACUGAAGAAUCUCUGACAAGGCCAUUCUCUGCUUUGCCAUAAAAUGUGUCCUUGGAACAAGAAUUUCCCCAUUGUCUUCUUCAAUAAAUACUGAUUCAAA
rnacentral:lncRNA from 1 species